AUGGACGCCCAGGGCGCCCUCGACUCGCUUCUUGGCCGCCUCACCGCCAUCCUCGUCCACGAGGCGAAGCUGCUCGGCGGACUCCAUGGCGACGUGGAGUUCAUCAAGGAAGAGAUGGAGUGCAUGAGCAGUGUGCUUCUUCACCUCACCGAGGCUAACCACCUCGACCGCCAUGUCCGCGCUUGGAUGAAGCAAGUCGUCGGCCUCGCCCGCAACUGCGAGGGCAACGUCGAGCUCUACAUCCACAGCGUCACAGACGCUGGCCACCACGCCAGUGGCCCCCUCGGCUAUUUGCAGUGUGUCAUCCGGUAUGUGCGCACCAUCCCGGAGCGGCACCGGAUUGCGACACGGAUUCAGGAGCUCAAGGUCAGGGCCCAAGAUGUGGGCCACAGGCAGCUGAGGUACGGUAUCACCGUGCCACCGGCUGCUGACCAGGAGGACGUGAUAUUCAUGGACGAUGACGUCCAAGCGCCCCAUGGACCGGAAGCAGAGGAGGAAGAUGCUCGGAGGCGCGCUCUUCUUGUCAACUGUUCUUCGCAGGAGGACAAAGAGGCUUAUGAACAGAAAAUCAUCGAUGAUACAAUCAAGUCCAUGCUGCUGUCUGAGGAGGAACCUGUUGAUGAGCUAGCAAGUGGGGAAUCACACCCGAGGAUAUUCCUGAUGACCUUGAGUACACACACUCGACUUGAGAAAGUGGAUCGUGAUUUCACAAAUCUUAUUGCAUGGAAACUUCAUAAGCGGGAAAUGAGCUCAUUUAGUUGCAAAGCCUUGGUCGAGGUCGGCAGAUUCGAUUUUAGACCUUUGGUCCUGUUAUUGCGGGAAAUACUGGACCAAGUGGCUAAACAAGAUCUGCCCAGGAUGGAAACGGAGCAGAGUACGGAAACAUCCCAGGGUGAUGAUGAUGAGAAGGCCGUGCAACUCACCAAGACCCUUGAGGGGCAUCUAAGAGGUAAACGGUUCUUGAUCAUUUUUCAAGUUCUCAAUCAUCGUCCUUACAUGAAGGAAGCCUGGAAUAGGAUAUGGUCUGCUGUGUUAGAUGCUACUGCUCAUGGCUCUCCUGGUAGCGCUAUAGUCAUUGCCACAAAUUGUGCUGAUUUAGUGGAGUCCCCCUAUAAAAUCCUCAUACCACAAAGUCUAUAUGGUGCUUUCUUCAGUAAAACCAUGGAGCUUGCUAGCUGUUUUGAAGAUUCUGUAGAUUGUAUACCAGAUAUUUUAAAAUUAUGUCACCCUGAUGUCUUUGCAAUGAAGAUGUUCCAACAUCUUGUGUAUGUUAACCCUGGAAGAGGUAAAACACAGUUACUCCACUUUGCAAAAACCUUAGAGGAUUGCCGGAAUGCAAACAAAAGUGUGGGAAAGCAAAUGGUGAAGAUCUCCUACAAUGACCUGCCUGCCAUGUACAGGAGCUGCUUGUUGUACAGGAGAACAACCAUGUGUAGAAGAUGGAUAGCUGAAGGGCUGAUAACCUCAAGGGAGAAUCGUGCAGAAGAUGAAGCAGAUUCCUGUUUUGAUGCACUCCUCUCAAGGGCUCUCAUUCAACCUGUGGACAUCAGUGACAUGGGCAAGAUCAAGACGUUUACAUUGUAUCGUGUUGUUCGUGAAGUCAUCACCAGGAUUGCUAGAGAUGUUAACUUUGUGGACACGGACCUACCACCCGAUUUGGCUCGCCACCUUCCUGUUCACAGUAGAACUGGGGUGCAAACAUCUCAUCCCGAUCAUUCCGUGAAAGCAGCUGAUGGCAAUGGCAUUGUAGCAUUUCUUCCAGAUUUGGCAAAGUCAUCUCAGUGGCAGCUAAUGAAGAUGCUGGAUCUAGAAGGUUGCAGAGGCUUAAAGAAGCAACAUUUGAAGAGCAUUUGUAAAAUAAUAUUGCUGAAGUACUUGAGCCUCAGGAACACAGAUAUCACUGAACUACCCAAGCAGAUCGAGAAGUUGCAGUGUCUGGAGACCUUGGACAUCCGGCAAACAGUUGUACAGUCAUUCGCCACUAAAUCGAUCAUGCUUCCAAUGCUAAAGCAUCUGCUUUCUGGCCCGAAAGGAUCUCCAAGCAACACCUCCGGUGGGUCUCAGGAUUUGUUUAUGGCAGUGCGCCUUCCUAGAGACAUCAAUAUAAUGGAAAAAUUGGAGACACUAUCCAAUGUUGAAGUUUCCGACCGUGUUAAUGAUUUAACUGAUGUUGGUCAUCUAUUACGGCUAAGGAAACUGGGUGUGAUUCUUCCUGCUGAGAAAGGUAGCUUGGGUCUUUUGUUCCAGCAGAUUGAAAAAUUACACGGCUGCCUCCGCUCCUUGUCAAUCCAGGUCAAGAAACCAGCCAAAGCCGAGGAUACUCUUCCGUUAGCUUUACCUCCAAAACUUCUUCAGAGCCUGAACAUUAGUGGCAUUAGAACUGGGCUCUUCUUCUGGGUUGCAGAGCUUGAUCAACUUACCAAGUUAACAUUGAGCGAGACCUACCUGGGGGAAGAUUAUAUACACAUCCUUGGCAAGCUUGUGGCUCUGCGUUGCCCCAGGCUUCGGCGCAAUACGUAUGCCGGAAGCGGGCUCACAUUCAAUGAUGGAGAGUUCAAGAGCCUCAAGUCAUUAGUUGUCUAUGACGACGCCAUCACCAACAUUACCUUCGACAUAGGAGCGGCUCCAAGGAUCAAGACGAUUGUCUGGUCCUUCGCGAAAAUGGAGUCUAUUUCUGGAGUCCUCUGCCUUCCCAAGUUGAUGAAGCUCGAGCUCAAUGGUGACUGCAACCCUGAUCCAGUGAGACAAGAACUUGAAGAGCACCCCAACAGUGUUGAUUUCAAGCACAAGCCAGGCCAUGGACACCAAGAAGACGGGGCUACUGUUGCAGCCUCCACCUCCAUGAGCAAGUGA
rnacentral:rRNA from 1 species